AUUGAACGCUGGCGGCAGGCCUAACACAUGCAAGUCGAGCGGAGCGGCGGAAGGGUGAGUAAUGCCUAGGAAUCUGCGUGGUAGUGGGGGAUAAAGUCCGGAAACGGGCGCUAAUACCGCAUACUAGCAGAUGAGCCUAGGUGGGGUUAGCUGGGUGGUGGGGUAAAGGCCUACCAAGGCGAGGAUCGGUAACUGGUCUGAGAGGAUGAUCAGGCACACUGGAACGGAGACACGGUCCAGACUCCUACGGGUGACAGCAGUGGGGAAUAUUGGACAAUGGGCGAAAGCCUGAUGCAGCCAUGCCGCGUAGGGAAAGAAGGUCUUCGGAUUGUAAAGCUCUUUAAGUUGGGAGGCGUUACCAACAGAAUAAGCACCGGCUAACUUCGUGCCAGCAGCCGCGGUAAUUC
rnacentral:rRNA from 1 species